GAGACACACACACACACAUGAAUCAACAAAUGCUUGUCAAAAAGUUCAGAUAUUUUCUUCUCUAACCCUCACACAAAGACAUCAAAUCAAAGCCUCAAAGUUCAAAUCUUUUUCAUCCAUUCUCAUCACCAUUGUUGCACCAAACCUCAAGCUUUAUUCAUACAGUCCAAAUGAAGCUCUCUUCAAUGGCGGUUCUUCUUCUUUUCCUCAUCGUCUCCCGAGCUCAAGGGAUUAGAUUGUUGGAGAAAGGGAUGAGCAAAGAGUAUAAGAAAAGUGGUGGAGAUUUGUUGAUGAAGAUGAAGAGAGCCCCAAGCAAGGCCUCAAGAAAACCACAUUCUCAAUGGCUACCAGGCAUGCAAGAGGAUUAUCAUGGACCAAGAAGCCAUAAAUUGAGACACCAUUAGUACUUUCCCACCACCUUUCUUCUUAGGGUUUUGUUUUUCUCUCGAGAGGGCGACCGCCCUCGAGCUGUAAAUAGAAACUGAGCACUGUUAAUUCGGUUGUCAUCAGAGAAUGUAGGAACACUAACUAGUUUAAGAGAAUUUAUUUGCGGAGCUGACGGUUUUAUAAGAUUAAGAAGGGUCGUAACAA